rnacentral:tRNA from 1 species
AGGCCUAUAGCCAAGCGGUAAGGCAAUGGACUCUGACUCCAUUAUUCGCACGUUCGAAUCGUGCUAGGCUUGCCA